UACGGAGGGUGCAAGCGUUAUCCGGAUUCACUGGGUUUAAAGGGUGCGUAGGUGGGCAAGUAAGUCAGUGGUGAAAUCUCCGGGCUUAACCCGGAAACUGCCAUUGAUACUAUUUGUCUUGAAUACUGUGGAGGUCAGCGGAAUAUGUCAUGUAGCGGUGAAAUGCUUAGAUAUGACAUAGAACACCAAUUGCGAAGGCAGCUGGCUACACAAAUAUUGACACUGGGGCACGAAAGCGUGGGGAUCAAACAGGA
rnacentral:rRNA from 1 species